GCAAACCAAUUCUUUGUCACCUUCUGACCAAGAGAGAUGAAUGUCAAGGCCUGAAGUCUUUCCCCACCAGCAGCGACCACCGCCACCGUCACCGCCGCGCCGCUAUAUAAGCCGCGCUGCCUCUCUCCGUCACCACCAUUCACACUCCUGCACCAACAUGGCUUGUAAGGUGGGUUGGAUUCCCACACUAACACACACAGGGCCUGCCUCACACACGCGCCAGUUGUCUCACACGCCUCACUAACGCUCACCUCAUUCCUCAUACCCGCAGCUCAUCCUCGUCCUGGCAGCCCUCGUGGCCCUCUCCGCCGCUUCCUACGUGCCCCAGGACUCCUAUGGAGCAGCGCCCGCCAACUAUAACUUCAACUGGGCUGUCAACGACGCUGCUUCCAGCAACAACUACGGCCACCAGGAAGCCCGCGACGGAGACAACACGCAGGGAUACUACUUCGUGCAGCUGCCCGACGGUCGCCUGCAGAAGGUCACCUACUCUGUGCAGGGCAAUUCAGGCUACCUGGCCGAGGUCACUUACGAGGGCGAGGCCCAGUACCCUCAGCGAGGAUACGGGGUCCCCACCAGGCCCCCGACGCCGACCUACGGCACCCCAGGCCCGAGCUACGCCCGCUGAGCACACUUCCCUCCCUCCCGACGCCAGGACCCUCACCUCGCCCCCCUCACCCCAUUCUGUAUUUAUUAUCUCUCUCCGUGCAUAACUUGCAAUAAAGACAAGGCAA